rnacentral:sRNA from 1 species
GUGGUUCUAGUUCUUAUGCUCAAUGAUACACAAAGCAUCUAGUCAUAUUUGACUACAAAUCCGCUAACCAAGCUUAUUCUUGAUUCUCAAAGCUUUA